UAUGGCCAGACUCUCUAGGAUUAUUUAAAAAUAUUGUUUUCUACUGCACAGCCACAUUCCUGUGUCAUAGUGGUGAUGAGUGGUACCAAAGCAGGGCAGCUACAGAGGAAAGGCUAUGUGGGGAGUUGCUCGGGCUUGGACCUCGAGAAGGAGAUCUGCAGAGACAUACGUGAAGUGACUUCAGCGACACUGAAGGAAGAAGAUAUUCCCUGUGGCAGUCCAGCUGCUUUGAACACUCUGCCUACACCGUGGAGAAACUAAGCAUGAGCUGUAAGGAACCCCGAAGCCUGGGCUCAUGGAGCCCCCACUCCAGAACCCACUGCUCCAGAUGCCUGUCCUGGCUUUGGGAAAGCUCAGUCCCAGUAAGAUAGCCUUGCUGAGCCGCUCGCUCACCCUGAAGCUGCAGUCACUCUGAGGCCUACGAUUCGUUCUCAGAGAAAGUUGUGAGCAGUGGAACUGGAAGCUGUGUUGUGAUUGGUGCAUGCUCGUGGCUGCCAGUGCACUUGUGUACGUGGUGUGUGAAGGCCACAGGACAAGUUUUACAACCAUCACGAAGAGGAAACUUGGAUCCAGCAAAUCCAAGUCUCUGAGGAGAAGAAAUCAGAAGGACACUGAAGGGAUGUUUGGCGCUAUUGGACCUCAUUCUGGAGGGGCUCUUUAGAUCCUUACAGGUGGUUGAGAAAGAAUUCAACUAGUCUUUGGAGUACACUGGAAGAAUUUGAUGGACUUCUGGAACGAAACACAGACACCUGUCAUGAGGGGCUGUUCUAAUGCAUCUAAAGACUCUGUGAGGUUUGUCGUUAACGCUGUCAUAUGAAUUAAAAAAGCCUUUCUAUCAUCUGGUUUUAUACAAUACUUAAUUUCUUCAAAGUCUUCUAUGAUUGUUGCAAGGGAUUCAAAACCACCAGACUGAGUAAGCAGGGAAGAGCAGCCAGUCCCAUUUUGUGGAUGAGAAAAGAAAGUAGGUUUCCUUUCCAAGGCAUCACGGCUGGCCCCAGUGUUUAGCAGCAAGCCUGCUCCCCAGCCCAGUGCAGCUGUGAAGAGUGAGCCCCAGAGAAAACAAGAGGUGUGGGCCCACAUUCAGUGCACUGUUGAGUCCUUGUCACCUGGCCCUGUCCUACCUAACCUGGCAGGUUGUGCAUAGAAACAGUUUUGUAUAAACAAACAAACAAACAAACAAACAAAAAGGAAACCUCCACAAAUCAGGACUAUCUGGAGAUCAGAGAGGGUGGAGCCUUUAGGAACUGAGAACUGUGGUCCGGGGGAGUGCAGAGGAUUCUCUGUGGCAGACUAGUGCAUAGUGAGCGGAUUUUUAAAUAAUAAUAAAAAAAGACUGUCUAUAAUGCUACAAUGACAAAGGAUGCUUGGUUUCAUUAGUUUCAUUCAGAAAGAAAGGGCUUGGAGCCGGAUAGAGAAUAGAUUCUAUGCUUCCCAGAGCUGUUUACUUAUAGUAGUUCUUGGUACUGAUAUCUUUACAGCCUGCCCUAUCUUUUCCUCCUCUAUUGGCCAGUACGAUAAGGUUCCCAAUCCUUAGUCAUCUUCCUCCCACAACGUGAAGCUCCUUGGACUCAGUCUGAAGAAAAACUAACAGCUCUCCCUUACUCCUUACAUGGUGGGAGGAGGGCAGAGGGCUUUGUAGACCUGUGGUUCUGGACUGCAGUGUCCCUUAACACCCAUCAAAGCCAUCUGCCCCAUCCCAGACCUUCCAGAAGUUUUCCCCUGAUGUGGCCCCUGUCCUGGCUCCAACCCAGGCCCAGGUGUGCAGUUGGAUGAGUCACACUGGCCCGCGAGGAGCAGGUGGGGUGAGCCGUCUACUCUUCAGAGCCGAUCAGGCGUGCAAUCCCAAGCGGCAACCUAAAGCUGGGAAAGAGGGUGCUUUGUUCUCUCCCCACCCACCCCCUGCCCCGCCUCUGGCAGGCUGCUCUCUGCUUGACACCCAGAGAUGCCAGCUUCCCAGCUGCCCCGUGAGGCUGCCAUGCCAGACUUGCAUGAGGGAGUAUCUUGGCUGUGGCUGCCAGUCCAGGUGGCUUGCUUGAGGAUGACUCUCGGUCUUGAAUAUUUAGCCUGCCUUUGCCCAGAGCCUAACCUGUUGAGUGUGUCUGUUAGCUGAAUAACUACCAAGGGCCAAUAGCUGUAAGAACAGUGAUGGUAGCAGUAGUGAGCCUUUCAUUGAACUUGGGUCCUGGCCAGACACUGCUUUAAUCACAUUGCAUACGUUAUUUGCUGAGGUCCUCACAACAGGGAGGUUGGUAUAGCCGAUAAGUUUUACAAUGCAUACAACCUGCCGCUCAGCACAGCUGUGUAAGUGGUUUAGGGACAACAUAUGCAUCUUUAGUCCAUGCUACUAGAAGAUGCUAUAGACCGAGUAGUUUAUAAGGAACACAGACGUACGUUUCUCAGUUCAAGGCUGGGGUGAGCAGAUCUCCAUCAGUACAGUACCUGCUGUGCAAGGGUUAGGGCCUGAGUUUGGCAGUCACAUGAAAAGCUGGUUAUGGUGGUUAUGCUUGGUACCCCAACACUUCGGAUUGGGGUAGAGAAAGACAGAACCCUGAGGCUUCCUGCCAGCCAGUCUAGCUAAUGGGUGAGCUAGUGGGUUCAUUGAGAGAACCUGUCUUUAAAAAAGUAAGGUAGAGAGUUGAAGAAAAAGACACCUGAUGUUUAUCUCUGGCCUCAACAGGUGUGCACAUAUGCACACACACACACACGUUCAAGAUCAACAUUUAAUGAGCUAAUAACGACUUUCUUGAUGCAUCCUUAUGUGAUAGAAGGUAGAAAGGGCCAGAAAGGAAUACACUGUCUCUGUGUUGUGGAAGAACAAGAAAGAGAAUCCAUUCAUGUGAUGUGAGCGCUACAUGAACCUUUUGUUUUAAGUAUACAAAAUUAUAUAGUACAGAGAGAUGAUACACAGGAAAUAGGCAGAGAUCCAAUCAGGACAGUUAGUAUUUCUACCCCUUAAGUAAUUAAUCUUUUGUUGUAGUUAGCACAGUAUUUGCAUGUAUCUGUGGAGUGUACUAUGACAUUUCAGUGAAUGUACGCAUGUGUUCUGAUCAGCCCAGGGUCUCUAGCUCUUCUGUCUUUUCAUCAUUACUGCUGUGUUUAGAGCCCUGAAGCUCCUGCUUUCUGGUUCUUCAUGGGCUGUGUAGUGGCCUGUGGUGAACCACAGCCUUGCCGUGUGUGUGCUACUUCAUGUGGUGGUCAUCAUUCCAUCCACUGAUGAAAAAUUUAUGGCCCAAAUGCCUUCCAACACUUGGGGUUGUUUCCAGCAUACUCAUUUUGGGGGCCCAUUCAGACCAUAGCCAUCCUGUGAUGGCAAGGUCAUGUCAGAGUCUGAACUCCACCUCAGGUCUUUCUAGCCUCUCCCCCUACCCUGUGACCACUGUGCCACAUGACUUCUCUUUCUUGUAUGGGCAACCACAUUUGUGUCUGUAGACACAUGCCCACCCCUUGAUGGAAUUUGAUGAUGCAGGUUUGAGGGUAUGUGCACCAUACCUCCGCUGAGCUUCCGGGCCUCUGACUUUACCCCUACCCUCAUGCUAUCCAGGCGACCCUUCCUUCUGAUCUCACCAAUUUCUUGCUGUUCUUCAACAGAGCAGGCCACCUUCAACUCAGGGACAUAUUGCCUUCUGUUUGCCCAUUAUGUUCCUCAUUCCAUUGAGUGUUGGUUGCUUCCAUCCCUUUUCUCAAAUCUGAUAAAAGCUACAGUGGCUGAAAGGUUGUCUUUCUCUAGCUCAUCUCUCUCAGCACACUUGCCUGUAUGUGUGUGCGUGCAUGUACAUGUGUGUGCAUAU